AUUGAACGCUGGCGGCAGGCCUAACACAUGCAAGUCGAACGAGUGGCGGACGGGUGUGUAAUGUCUGGGAAACUGCCUGAUGGAGGGGGAUAACUACUGGAAACGGUCGCUAAUACCGCAUACCCUCAGAUGUGCCAGAUGGGAUUAGCUAGUUGGUGGGGUAACGGCCAACCAAGGCGACGACCCCGAGCUGGUCUGAGAGGAUGACCAGCCAAACUGGAACUGAGACACGGUCCAGACUCCUACGGGAGGCAGCAGUGGGGAAUAUUGCACAAUGGGCGCAAGCCUGAUGCAGCCAUGCCGCGUGUAUGAAGAAGGCCUUCGGGUUGUAAAGUACUUUCAGCGAGGAGGCGUUACCCGCAGAAGAAGCACCGGCUAACUCCGUGCCAGCAGCCGCGGUAAUUC
rnacentral:rRNA from 1 species